CAAAGAAUAGUUUAGUUUAGAAUGUUAGCUUUGGGAGCUGUUGGUGGGGGUUAAAAUCCCCUUUCUUUGA
rnacentral:tRNA from 2 species